rnacentral:rRNA from 5 species
CAUACCUAUUCGAAGGGAUAGGGUCGGUUCGGCCGGGUUUUACACAGGUGUUGCAUGGCUGUCGUCAGCUCGUGUCGUGAGAUGUUGGGUUAAGUCCCGCAACGAGCGCAACCCUCAUCCUUAGUUACCAUCAGGUAAUGCUGGGGACUUUAAGGAAACUGCCAGUGAUAAACUGGAGGAAGGUGGGGAUGAUGUCAAGUCAUCAUGGCCCUUAUGGAGUGGGCUACACACGUGCUACAAUGGUGGCUACAAUGGGCUGCAAAGUCGCGAGGCUAAGCCAAUCCCUUAAAAGCCAUCUCAGUUCGGAUUGUACUCUGCAACUCGAGUGCAUGAAGUUGGAAUCGCUAGUAAUCGUGGAUCAGCACGCCACGGUGAAUACGUUCUCGGGUCUUGUACACACUGCCCGUCACGCCAUGGGAAUUGGUUUCACUCGAAGCU